CUUGUUGUAUAUGUAUACGAUUGGCCAUCUUGUUUUUACAGGAGAGUGACAUGCGAUAUUUUAUUCUUUAACGGCGUUUUAUCCAAAUGAAGAAUUUAAAAAAUUGGAGGAAAGAAGGUAUUUAAUGAUAAGAGAAGUUUGGCUUUUACCUAUUUCAGCUUUUGACUCAGCCAGAACCGAAGAAAAUAUUAUUUAAGGAUGAAUCAUUGCGAUGUCAAGUCCGAAGAAAACGAUCUUUUUAACGAGUUUAUGGAUUUGGAAGAAUUUAUUGAUGCGUCGACGACAGAUGUUGCAUCUCCAAACUUUUCACAAUCUUCUUUUGAUUCAUACUGCUCCCCUGAGGGUUCAUCUGGUGUGGAAACUUUAAAUAAAAGUGAUACAAAAGCAGAACAAAGUGAAAGUUUAAAUUUGAAAGAAAAUGGCUCCACAACUGAGAAUGGAACUGAUGAUAACCAAGGUAUGGUUGCAUCCCUGAUGGAAAUAUGUCUACUGGUAAUAUGGUGAGAGAUCAGAGAUAUUGGGAUCGGAGGUUAAAAAAUAACAUUGCUGCAAAGCGUUCACGGGAUGCUAAAAGACUGAAAGAAACAACUGUUGUCAAACGGUGGACAUUUCUUGAAGAAGAGAACAAAAGAUUGAAAGAACAGAUUUCAAAUAUGCAAA